rnacentral:rRNA from 1 species
UGGGGAAUUUUGGACAAUUGGGCGAAAGCCUGAUCCAGCAAUGCCGCGUGUGUGAAGAAGGCCUUCGGGUUGUAAAGCACUUUUGUCCGGAAAGAAAUCCUUGGCUCUAAUACAGUCGGGGGAUGACGGUACCGGAAGAAUAAGCACCGGCUAACUACGUGCCAGCAGCCGCGGUAAUACGUAGGGUGCAAGCGUUAAUCGGAAUUACUGGGCGUAAAGCGUGCGCAGGCGGUUUGCUAAGACCGAUGUGAAAUCCCCGGGCUCAACCUGGGAACUGCAUUGGUGACUGGCAGGCUAGAGUAUGGCAGAGGGGGGUAGAAUUCCACGUGUAGCAGUGAAAUGCGUAGAGAUGUGGAGGAAUACCGAUGGCGAAGGCAGCCCCCUGGGCCAAUACUGACGCCCAUGCACGAAAGCGUGGGGAGCAAACAGGAUUAGAUACCCUGGUAGUCCACGCCCUAAACGAUGUCAACUAGUUGUUGGGGAUUCAUUUCCUUAGUAGCGUAGCUAACGCGUGAAGUUGACCGCCUGGGGAGUACGGUCGCAAGAUUAAAACUUAAAGGAAUUGACGGGGGUCAUAGCU